AAGCUGCGUACCUAUGAAGCAGCGUGCGCACGCCUGUCUGUCACUGUUUGACAAAUACCGUUACGCACUCACACACACGUGUGGUCGCAAUUUCUGAUUGUACACAAUCGAAAGUUGAUCUCCCUGCGCAGCAGGGUAACAUGAGCGUGUCGUGUAGUUGGCCUUUUCAUUUUUGUCAGCCAGGGGAAGCAGCAGUGAGCCAUACUUUGCCUGGCGGAAAAGACGAAGAAGAAGACGAAGAAGAGUCCCGCUGAGCUUCCGACAGCUUCCGAGGCCAGCGCCCGAAAUGGCAUACUAACGUACUACUCAUACUAAGUGUAACGUCAAAAUAAGUAUGUAGUGCAUUCACAUUAGAUAGUAUGAAAAGACUGAGUACGCGAGAAAUACCCGGAUGUUCACUAUAUCGGUAAGUAUGUGCGGUGACCACACUAGUCAUACUCAACCACCCCAUAAUGCUUUGCGAGCUACCCACCGAAAUGUAAGCCUCCAUGGGAUCUGUGGCCGGGCCGGCGCGAUAUAAAUGGACAGAUGAGGACACAGAUCGCCUCAUUAAGUGGUGCGCUGAAAACGAGGACAUGUUUACAGGGCGUCGUAACGCAGCCCAAAAAGGUUUCCAAAUGUUCAUCAAGGACCACAACCUUGAGGGAAAGGUGGAGGCAGGGUGGGAAAAAAAUGGGAAAACUUAAAACAAAAAUACAAGUUCAUAGGCGGGGUGUUGUGGGGCAGACACUGCAGCAGCAAGGCAGUUUCUGAGACCAUCACCAGAUUGCUGGACUGGCACAGGAACCUCAAAGUCCACUCCAUCGUUGUCCAGGGUUGGUCUGGACAACCUGAAGUCCUUCCUGAGGUCACCUCCCUCAAAGUAAAGAGACAGCAGGGGAACAUGGGGGUUUACUCUGCUGUAUGGACCUCUCACACCAACCUGUAAUAUAGAAAACACGCCAUCAAAAAUUAGUUGUUUUUAAUUAUUUAUUGAACUAUUUGUGUAUUUGUGUAUUUUUAAAAAUUAUUUAUUGGUAUUUGUGUAUUUUUAAAAACUAUUUAUUGGUAUUUGUGUAUGUUUUUAACUACUUGUUUUGAAUGAUAAUAUUUAAAGUAUUUAUUACAUAUAUAUGAAAUUAUUCUUAAAUUAUUAAACUUUGCUAUAAAAUUAAAAAGUGGUUAUGUGGCAUA